rnacentral:tmRNA from 1 species
UUCCUUUUCUCGGCUUCCCCGAUCGGCUACACUGGGCCGGUCGGGUGACCGACUAUGGUGCUAAAUCCCGCGUGGAAUAAGCGUUGCGGACCCGGGGGCAGUGCCCGGCGCCUCCACCAUUCCUCCCGUCCUUCCGGACGGGUUCAUGGGGGCGAAACAGGAUCGACGUGCGUGGUAAAGACACGGAGUGUGCUCGGCAUGGUUCCGCCGUUAUCGGGCCUUUCUACAGGUGCCAACGAUAAUGAAUUGGCCCUCGCUGCCUAACUAGGUAAGCGCGGCUCGGGGGGCGCCGGGCAACAGAAGCCCCCCACC